rnacentral:rRNA from 1 species
UACAGAGGGGCAAGCGUUAUUCGGAAUUAUUGGGCGUUAAAGGGGCGCGAUAGGCGGCCUGGGCGAAGUGGAAGGUGAAAUCCCGUCCGGCUUAAACCCGAGGAACUUAGCCUCCCGAAACUGCUUGGCUUGAGACCGGAGAGGUGAGUGGAAUUCCCGAGUGUAGCGGUGAAAUGCGUAGAUAAUUGGGAGGAACACCAGUGGCGAAGGCG